UACGUAGGCAGCAAGCGUUGUUCGGAUUCAUUGGGCGUAAAGGGUGCGUAGGCGGCGCGGUAAGUCGGGUGUGAAAUCUUGGAGCUUAACUCCGAAACUGCAUUCGAUACUGCCGUGCUUGAGGACUGGAGAGGAGACUGGAAUUUACGGUGUAGCGGUGAAAUGCGUAGAUAUCGUAAGGAAGACCAGUGGCGAAGGCGGGUCUCUGGACAGUUCCGGACGCUGAGGCACGAAGGCCAGGGGAGCAAACGGG
rnacentral:rRNA from 1 species